AUAAUGCUGGGAAGACUAAUUUGGCCUGAAGUGCUCUCUGAAGUACUCUCACUUAUCCUGAAGGAGAAGGCCGGUGUCUUAGGUGUCUAAAAGGAACGCAGCGCAGAGGGACCUGGAAUGUGGUUGACAACGGGACACAGCUGAGGGAGCAGAGGCAGGAAGGUGCCUGAAGGGAAUAUGAAUGAACCGAACAACCCAGAUAGAGAAAAAGCCAGCAUCCGAGCACAGUGAUACACAGAAGGAGCUGACUCCUCAGCCUUGCUCUGCGGAGCUAACAAACGCGGGCUGAGACCAGCAGGACAGAACAAGGACCACCACAGGGACAACGCCCCCAGCUGUCGCCAGCAGAUUGCUGGCCUCCAGCCUGGAAGAGGAUACAUUUCUGUGGUUCUAAGCUGCCGUAUUGCCAGUAAUUACUCAUGGAAACCAGUGUACCCCUCAACCGCCCACCACCCUCUGAGACAUCAUUUCCGUCUCCUGCAAACCUGCCAGCUGCCCCAUCAUCCUGGGCCCAUCUAUGAAAGCCUCGUU